CCAGCAGCCGCGGUAAUUCCAGCUCUAAUAGCGUAUACUAAAGUUGUUGCAGUUAAAAAGCUCGUAGUUGGAUUUCGGAACUGGGCGGUCACCAGUCGGCCGUAAGGUCUGUACUGGUCCGUCCGUUCUCACCUAUGGGAUGCUCACCUCUACCCUUAACUGGGCGGAGGCAAAUAAGCGGGUGCAGGACAAAACCGUAUACGUCUCGCGCGUGUACGGCCUACAUUCGUGGAGUUCCCAUUCGUUUACUUUGAAUAAAUUAGGGUGUUCAAAGCAGCCAAAAAAGGAGGCAUGAAUACUACAGCAUGGGAUAACGGAAUACGAUUUCGGUUCGAUGUUUCGUUGGUUUC
rnacentral:rRNA from 1 species